CAAGUGUUCUAGUGAGGAUGAGAAUCCAGGAUUCAGCCCAUUAGUCUCGCAUGGUAGGUUCCUUGUGAGCAACAUUUAAUUCCAGUUCAUGUGCCAAUCGCCUGUGAACAGGAGCAGCAUCACAGUCUUUUCAAAACAUGGAACGAGCUUAACAACAACAGAAUCAAGACAGAAACUGACACCCAACUCAAAGAAGAUGUGAGAACAAGUGAUCAGGGUUUGGUCAAGGCAUAGUCUAACCAUGACUAUCAAAGCAAAUUAGGAGUCUUUCAUCGAAGGAAGUUUACAGCAAACACAGGCUGCUCGUUGUUUCUUUAGACCUACGCUUGGACAGUAAUGUGGCUGUCUAGCCUCAGCCUGUUAAUUGAAUGGGAUCUCGAUGAUUCAGCUGUUAGUUCACAUGGAGGCAAUGGACGGGGUCUGAAGCUGAAGGCCACAUCACCGCGAGAGGCUUCCUGCAGAAAUAAGUUCAACAGAGGGAAAAACAUUGUGAAUUGAAAGCAGUCUGUAAGCACAAGGAGGGAAAGGUCACACUCUUGACUCAUAUGAAGUAAAUGACAUUGUGUUUUGAGCUCCCCCAGAUUUAGGUUAAGUCAAGGGAAUGCAUACAGUAUAACUGAAACCUGGCUGGAGCAAAGUGCUCGGCAUUGCAAACUUUUGAGUUCAGUGUGAAACAAGGUUAAAUGUUUGUGUUACCUUGAAGUUGUUGCAUUCAUUUGCAGGAAUGGCCAAAUGCUUCAAAUCCCGACUGCUUGCCUUUAAAACAUGUAACCUUUUAUUUUAACUCAGCCCUAAGGCAAUGGGCAGGAGACCAGCUGUGGCUCACAGCAAUAAACCAUCAAGACUGCAUCGAUACAAAAGCCUGCAUUGCCAAAUGCAAAUACAGGUAACUAUUUUAUUGGUGAUCAAAACGUCAUGUCUAAUUGCAUCACAUUGCUGGCUUCUCUUUAAAUUGUUUACCACUCACAGCCAGUAAACCAAUGUCAAACACUAUCCCAGUUUAGCGUGAUUGGCAGCUUUUCAACUGGUCCUUUUGAACAAGAUUUUAUUACUUUGUUUUGAUGAAUUACUAGAAGACUAUCACCUGUACUAACUCCUGCGUAGCAACCGAAAUGAAAAGAAUUAGAAGUCAGAUCAUAAUUAAACUAAACUUGUAGUUGUGACAACAAGUCAUGACUUUUUAUUUUUGGACCCUGGAUUGAAAAAUGGAUGCUGCUGUAAAAUGGAGAUAGAACACAGGCACUGUUUGCAGCUUUGGGAAAAAAAAGUGAAUCCAACUAGUACAUAUGCAACAAUUUUACUUUUUGGAGACAUUGAGCCCAAACAAAAUGGCAUCAUUUGUUAUGGGUUCAGUAUAGCAACAAGUGUCUGGUCAUACAGAUUCUGUAAGUGGGGGUGAACCAAACAGAGAGGAGCAAGGGGUUUUGUUAAUGUUAGUUAAUGUUAAUCUUUUCUCUCUCCCCCUUCUCUGUAAAGUUGCUCUCUCCAACAUUCUAUCACAACAAUAGAAAUAUACAUCGACAGAUGCUGAAAGAAAUAAUUCUAAAAUGCAACAAAACAAGAAAGACCUUGGGUCCGACACACAAGCAACGAAUUACAGAGUGAUUAUUGCUGAUCAGAUAACAUCUGAGCAUUAUCAGAUAAGCAAAGGGAUGUGCAACCAACACAUCUAAUUUUGUGCUGUAGUACUGAUGACAGAGUUGUAUUCUUCGACCAAUUUCUUUCCCAUCAAUCAAAAUAUUUGUGUUCAUCUGUUUUUCAUUGUGUGUGCAUGUGCACAUUCACUUGUACUUGUCUGUCCCUGUGUGUGAUUGUGCAAGUGUGCACGGCUAUCCGCACAACCGUGUGUGUUUGCAAGAAUUUGUAAAGGGGUAAAGUUUAAGUUACAUAAUUUAGAAAGCCUGUUCUUUUACUAGUUGUUAACAUCAAAGCAUUACAUAAGAAGCAGGAGCAUGAGUAGGCAAUUCAGCCCAU